AGUUGCUUAGCUCAGUUGGUUAGUGUCUACCUCUACCAUGAAUGGGAAGGCUUUGGGUUCGACUCCCGGAGCCAUCA